rnacentral:rRNA from 1 species
UGGUGGAGUGAUUUGUCUGGUUAAUUCCGAUAACGAACGAGACCUUAACCUGCUAAAUAGUCACGUCAACCUUGGUUGACGGUCUGACUUCUUAGAGGGACUACGGAUGUUAUAAUUCGUGGAAGUUUGAGGCAAUAACA